rnacentral:ncRNA from 1 species
UAAUUUUGGCUAAAUUAUAUUAGGUAAUAAAUUGUUUAUACAUGUAAUUAUAUAAGUUUAUAUUAUAAUUCUAAAAGAAUUAGAUACUAUUCGCAGUAUAUAUUAUUAUUAUUUUAUUAAUAUUAGAAAUAGAAAUUUUAAUAAGAAAGGACAAAAAUUUGUGCCAGCAGUCGCGGUUAUACAAAUUUUUCAAUUUAAUAUAAAUAAGUUUCAGUUAAUAUAUUUUUUUAUUAAUUAGAAUUAAUUUUGGUGAAAUAAUGUUUAUUAAAAUAUAUAAUUUUUAUAUGGCUGAGAAACUAAUUAUUAAACUAGGAUUAGAUACCCUAUUAUUAUAAGUGUAAAUUAAAUUAACUUGAUUAUUAAUAGAUAUAAUCUUAAAAUUCAAAGAAUUUGGCGGUAAUAUACCUUUUUAGAGGAAUCUGUUUUAUAAUUGAUAAUCCACAAUAGAUUUUACUUUAUUAAAACUUGUAUACCGCUAUUAAGAAUGUUUUUAUAGAAUAUUUUCUAAAUUUAUAGAAAAAUUAAUGUUAGGUCAAGGUGCAGUUAAAUUUUAAAGAAAAAAUGGGUUACAUAUUUAAAUAUAAUUUGAAUUUUACUAAAAUAUUAGAAUUAUGAGAUUGAAUUUAAUAAUAAAUUAAUUAAAUUUAAUUAAUUGAAGCAAGCUCUAUAUUAUGUACAUAUCGCCCGUCACUCUCAUUAUAAAAUGAGAUAAGUCGUAACAAAGUAGUUGUACCGGAAGGUGUAUCUAGAAAGAC